GGGGGUGCAAUGGUUUCGAUGUGAUUUGAAGGUUUAAGCAAGCGAGUAGCGAGACGGAACCGCUUUAAAAUUCGUAACUUUUUAAAUGGAAAAUCGUUGUAUGGGGACGACCCAAACAGAGGCCAAGCCAAAGUAAUUAGCUUCCCUGGAAUUAGAUCUGAGGUUUGUGCUGCUUAAUUAAAGUAAACGCUGAAUUUUUAUUAUAAUUUAGCUCGUCUUUUAGAUUUCGCCAUGAAUUUAAAAUGAUGUUAUUUAAUGGCGGCGAUCUGGGAUUUUUUCUUUUCACCUUUUCGCAAUUUAUAAAGAAUAUUUUGGUAAUAGUUUGUUUUUUAACUAGACCAAAAGAAAAAAUAAAAAAACUACACUCGUAGAAAUCUUAAAUAAACAUCUCACAGACAGGGGUUCGACUCCCCUCAUCUCCACCA
rnacentral:tmRNA from 1 species